rnacentral:rRNA from 1 species
UACGUAGGGUCCGAGCGUUUGUCCGGAAUUACUGGGCGUAAAGCGUGCGCAGGCGGUUUUGUAAGUUUGUCGUGAAAGCCCCGGGCUCAACCUGGGAAUUGCGAUGAAGACUGCAAGGCUUGAAUCUGGCAGAGGGGGGGUAGAAUUCCACGUGUAGCAGUGAAAUGCGUAGAGAUGUGGAGGAAUACCAAUGGCGAAGGCAGCCCCCUGGGAUAAUAUUGACGCUCAUGCACGAAAGCGUGGGGAGCAAACAGG